rnacentral:rRNA from 1 species
GAUGAACGCUGGCGGCGUGCCUAAUACAUGCAAGUCGAGCGAACAGACGAGGAGCUUGCUCCUCUGACGUUAGCGGCGGACGGGUGAGUAACACGUGGAUAACCUACCUAUAAGACUGGGAUAACUUCGGGAAACCGGGGCUAAUACCGGAUAAUAUAUUGAACCGCAUGGUUCAAUAGUGAAAGACGGUUUUGCUGUCCCUUAUAGAUGGAUCCGCGCCGCAUUAGCUAGUUGGUAAGGUAACGGCUUACCAAGGCAACGAUGCGUAGCCGACCUGAGAGGGUGAUCGGCCACACUGGAACUGAGACACGGUCCAGACUCCUACGGGAGGCAGCAGUAGGGAAUCUUCCGCAAUGGGCGAAAGCCUGACGGAGCAACGCCGCGUGAGUGAUGAAGGUCUUCGGAUCGUAAAACUCUGUUAUUAGGGAAGAACAAAUGUGUAAGUAACUAUGCACGUCUUGACGGUACCUAAUCAGAAAGCCACGGCUAACUACGUG